AUACACAACGAGCAGCAAAAAGGCGGCGGUAGCAGCAGCGGUAGCAGCAGAGCAGUGGAUCCUUCCUCAAUAUCCAAGCCUGAUGACAGAGUGGGAGCAGAAAAAUACAUUGAACCUGGUUUGGUGAAUAGAAGGAAUUGAUUACGGUGGAGCCAUGUAUCUAAAAAAGGCGUUUCUUUGCGUGUUUCCGUACCUGUCUGAGAAUGAAACUGGUGGAGGUGGUGCUGCCAUCGGACCUCUUGAGUCGGCUCCUCCUGGAAUAAGUCCCACGAUUCACCUGAAUGAAAAUAAACGGAAAGCCCUUUUAUCCUCA